UACGUAGGGUGCGAGCGUUAAUCGGAAUUACUGGGCGUAAAGUGUGCGCAGGCGGCCGAGCAAGUCGAGUGUGAAAGCCCCGGGCUUAACUUGGGAAUUGCGCUCGAAACUACUUUGCUGGAGUGUGGCAGAGGAAGGUGGAAUUCCACGUGUAGCGGUGAAAUGCGUAGAGAUGUGGAGGAACACCAAUGGCGAAGGCAGCCUUCUGGGCCAACACUGACGCUCAUGCACGAAAGCGUGGGGAGCGAACAGG
rnacentral:rRNA from 1 species